GGAGCCGUUAGCAGGCUCCUGCUCUAGUACCACUCUGGGGAAAAAGCCUUGUGCUGGCUGCAUGAGAAAGCACGGGGGAAGCCCCUCAGUUGUCGUACUCCCUGCUACUGUUUUGUAUAUUUGAAUAUUUUAUACUUAUUUUUUUUUGUGUGUGUUUUCUGUUUUUUCAGGGACCAUGUACAUCCGGACCCCCAGCUUCACCCUCUGAACAUGACAGUGAAGAUGAAUUUGACUAUUCCUCUUUAGUCAUCUAAAGAGGAAGAAGAAGAAGAGAGCAAAGAGGGGCACCGGGAGGCGGGUUGAGGAUUUCUGGAAAAGGAGGGGACCAUUUCACCAAUUCAGGAAGUGAACCCCUUCCCCCUCUGAGGAGAUAUUUUUAAAGAUCACAGGAGGGCAUUGAAAAGUUACGUACGCAUGCAAUAUACAUAGAGGGAGCCGUUAGCAGGCUCCUGCUCUAGUACCACUCUGGGGAAAAAGCCUUGUGCUGGCUGCAUGAGAAAGCACGGGGGAAGCCCCUCAGUUGCCGUACUCCCUGCUACUGUUUUGUAUAUUUGAAUAUUUAUACUUAGUUUUUUUUGUGUGUUCUUUGUUUUUUCAGGGACCAUGUACAUCCGGACCCCCAACUGAACAUGAGUCUGAACAUGAGAGUGAAGAUGACUUUGACUAUUCUCAAUUUAGCCCAUGUACAACAAGGAAGAAGAAGAAAAGGGCAAAGCGGGGCACCGGGAGGCGUGUUGAGGAUUUUUGGAAGAGGAGGGGACAAUUUCACCAAUUCAGGAAGUGAACCCCUUCCCCCUCUGAGGAGAUAUUUUUAAAGAUUACAGGAAUAAGUUUUAUUUUGUAAAGGCUUUACUUAUUGAUGAGCUUAUAUUAUUUUAUAAUAAAGG